GCCUGUUCCUUGGAUGGCCGAAUUUCGCCUUUUGUUAUUUCACCUUCGGUUCCCUGUGGCAUACCUUCGCGACGGUAUCCUGUCGGCUAGAAUCGCCCCGUUUCGCCCUACGUUGCGAGUAACAUCGCGACCGAAGGCGAACCGAAAAGCAUUCAUCGCGUUCCACCCCGUUCGCGUUACGCGUUGCGGGGACCGGCCCACGAUGACGUGCUCGAAUUCUCGGAUGCGGAACACAAUGUGGGCACGAGGACGUCGAUCCUCCGUUUGCCCCAACAAGCGUUCUACGCUCUGUGCGAACAACGUUCUUCCUCGU
rnacentral:misc_RNA from 1 species